rnacentral:lncRNA from 1 species
UCGCCGCAAAAUCGCAAUACACAAGAUCAGACAGCGAUCUACGCCCUAAUAAUCUUCACACACACUGGGUUUAGCCUCUGAACACCCCACACUAAUCACACACACACCCUUCCCCUGAUCCCUGAUGCUUCUCCGGAACCCGAAAGGGAUGAAAAGAUAGUGAGAAAGAGAAAAGAAAAGAUAAAGAUGUGAAAGAUAAAGCCUGUGUGUUGUCUGAAUGUCUCUGAAUUCUUUUGGACCUCUUCUGAUAUCUCUGCUUAUCCAGCCAGCUACUGCUAACUACUACUGCUACCAAAGUAUGAGUUGGCUUCCAUGUUACGGUGAUGGCUUGUGGGGAGAGCAAAGCGUACCGUAACCUCCCAACGUGAUCGUCACUCCAUCGGUCGCCACGUGGCGUGGUCGCGGCCGUCCGAUUGUCCUGCAACUGCCAUCCUACGGUUGGUGCAGAGCUGCAGGAUCAGUUGGGGAGUUGCACCCAAGUUGAAUAUCCUGAUUAGUAGUAGUCUAGAUUCAGCUUCAAGUGUUAACUCAACCAAGGAUCACCAACCGAAUAGUUGUGAAUUGUACCUAAAAAUCACCAUCUGGUCAGAAAUAUUUAAUGUUGUAGGAUAAAAUUCGAUCAAACCUUUAAUGUUUUCUUAAAUCCUUAGUUUAAAACAUCAUGAUUACUCCAAAAUUCAGCUUUAGGUGGUGUUUGAAUCUUCUGAAGAUAAAUAUUAAGUGUUUUACAUAAAACGAGAUAGUAAUAACAUGUGAUUAAUUGAGUGUUAGUUAUUACAAACUUGAAAAUGGAUCAAUAUGAUAUUUUAGAACAACUUUUAUAUAGAAAGUUUUUGCACGAAACACACUGUUUAGCAGUUUGAAAAACGUGCCACAAGUAUGCAAAAUUUUAUCCUCUAGCCUUAGAAGAAACGAACAGGUUCUCAAUUGUUAACUCAAUUAAGAAUAAAAAACCAAAUAGUCACGAAAAGUUCUUUAAAAAAUUGCAAAAUACAUUUUGUAAAUAUAAUUGAAAAUUAAUGUUUUAUAUCCACAUCCUCUGCCAUACGGCACACAACCUACGUUUUGAAUCUAGAAAUUAAUAGUGCAAAACCAUAUAUUUUUGGAUCAUAAAUUAAAAAUAAUAGUAAAAGGAAACGAGAAUUGAACAAACUGAUGAAUCAUCAGCAAGCACCAAACCUCUCAUGUGCUAUAUAUCUCAAAACAAUUUGCAUGACCACACAUCUCAUGUGGAAAUAUAGGUGAAAGAGUUGGAAGCUUCACCCAACUGAGCACUUCAGUUUCUUUGCAACUCUUCCGAGUCUCACCCUUCUUCUCCAAGGCUAUCGGUUGAGCCGUCGUCAAUGCAACCGCGACCAAACCGCCGAUCGAUCCAUCGAGAUGUUCACGUCGAAUCCACCACCUAAUCCGUAGCCUCAUACCACCAAAUCUCACUCCUCCUCCCUCCAUGUAUUCUUAUCAUGGUUUCUUCCUCCUCCCGCCUCUCCCCUCGCCGUCGCAUUCUUCUUCUUCUCCUCCCGGCAAGCAUCGUCCCGCCAUUGUUGGGAUCCAUUUGUUUAUUAUGGUGUUUCUUGACGUGGUUUAGGGCUUCAAGAACGCCGCCAUGAUCGGGACAAGGUGUGAGACGACAUGGGUUUGGGUGGUGAUGGUGGUGGUGGUGAUUCUUGCGGCGGCGAUGGCGGCGGUGGUGGAGGGUGUGGGGUGGCCAGAGCCGGAGCUGGAGGCGUUGCGCGACGAGCGGGGCGGGCUGGUGGCGCUGCGGGACGCGCUGCGGUCGGGGAGGGACCUGCACUCGAACUGGACGGGGCCGCCGUGCCACGGCGGGCGGAGCCGGUGGUACGGCGUGGCGUGCGACGGCGACGGGCGGGUGGUCGGCGUGCAGCUCGACGGCGCGCAGCUCACGGGCGCGCUCCCCGCGGGGGCGCUCGCCGGCGUGGCGCGGCUGGAGACGCUGUCCCUGCGCGACAACGCCAUCCACGGCGCGCUCCCGCGGCUCGACGCGCUGGCGCGGCUCCGCGUCGUGGACCUGUCGAGCAACCGGUUCUCGGGGCCCAUCCCGCGCGGGUACGCGGCGGCGCUGGGUGAGCUCACGCGGCUCGAGCUCCAGGACAACCUGAUCAAUGGCACGCUGCCGGCGUUCGAGCAGGACGGGCUCGCCGUGUUCAACGUGUCGUACAACUUCCUCCAGGGCGAGGUGCCCGACACCCGCGCGCUCCGCCGGUUCCCCGCCACCGCGUUCGCCCACAACCUCAGGCUCUGCGGCGAGGUUGUGAGGACGGAGUGCCGCCGCGAGGGCUCGCCAUUCGACGCCGCGCCGGCCGGCGGCGGCGGCAGCGGCAGCGAUGGUGGUGAUCGGGUCUUCGGGGCGCGCGACGCCGCCGCGCCGCCGGCGCGGUGGCGCAAGCCCAUCCGGUUCAGGAUAGCGAGGUGGAGCGUCGUGGUGAUCGCGCUCAUCGCCGCGCUGGUGCCGUUCGCCGCGGUGCUCAUCUUCCUCCACCACAGCAAGAAGAGCCGGGUGGUUCGUCUCGGCGGCGGUCGCGCCGCCGCCGGCCGCCACCGCAGGUAAGCACGCCACAAAACCCACUCCACUUCGCUCGCCGCCGCUUUCUUCUCGACGAGUCAUUGACGGCGACGUGACCAGUGGCAGGUGACAUCAAGGACAAGGCGGCGGAGCAAGCCGGCAAGAAGGUGAGCAGUGGCAGCGGCAACGGAAGCCGGAGCACGACGGAGUCCGGCAAGGGAGCGGCGGAUCAGCUACAGUUCUUCCGGCCGGAGAAGGCGACCUUCAGCCUCGACGAGCUGUUCCGUUCGACGGCGGAGAUGCUCGGCAAGGGCCGGCUAGGGAUCACCUACCGCGUCGCCCUCCACGCCGGCGGCGGCGGCGGCGGCGGCGGCGGCCCGGUCGUCGUCGUCGUGAAGCGGCUGCGCAACAUGGGGCACGUGCCACGCAAGGACUUCGCCCACACCAUGCAGCUCCUCGGCAAGCUCCGCCAUGAGAACGUCGUCGAGGUCGUCGCCUGCUACUUCUCCAAGGACGAGAAGCUCGUCGUCUACGACCACGUCCCCGGCCGCAGCCUCUUCCACCUCCUCCACGGUCAGUCCAUGGCCAUUCUUGAUCGGAGUAGUGGCUGCCAUGGCGACUGAUCUGACGAAGAGUUUCGAUUUUUGGAAGUGUGUGAUUUUUUACCUCAAGACGAUAUCCUCUCGUUUUGUGUAUGCAGCUUAAAAAAUUAUCAAUUUUUUUUAAAAAAAUUAUGAUAUAUCUUUUCGUAAAUAUAUGAGUCAAAAUUUAACUUGUACAAUUUAAAAAAUAAUAAUAAAUUUGAACGUGAAUUACGCGUUAGAUUCAUAAUUAAAUUUGUUAUUUUUGUUUCUAUUUAUAUAAGUUGAAUUUGAAUUUGCAUGUGUUGUGGAGUGAUAAAUCACGUAUAGAUCUAUCUUACUAAAUUUUUUAAAAUUUUCUGUGACUUUUUAAGAGACAUAUAAAAAUAAAGGAAUAUCGGAUCCUCGAUUUUGCUGCAGAGAACAGAGGAGAGGGGAGGACGCCGCUGCCAUGGCCGGCGAGGUUGGCGAUAGCGAAGGGCGUGGCGCGGGGGCUGGCCUACCUGCACCAGACGCUGCCGCUCUUCCACCGGCCGCCGCACGGCGACCUCAAGUCGUCGAACGU